AACUUAUCGCGAGAGGUGGAGGGACUGGCCCUUUGAAACCCGGCAACCAGCAGUUAGCUACUGCCCGGUGCUAAUUCCAGCAGGAAGAUUCCUGAGAGAUAAGGA
rnacentral:ncRNA from 1 species